rnacentral:rRNA from 1 species
CUACGGGAUGCUCCAGUGAGGAAUAUUGCACAAUGGGGGAAACCCUGAUGCAGCAACGCCGCGUGGAGGAUGACGCAUUUCGGUGUGUAAACUCCUUUUAUCAGAGAAGAAAAUGACGGUAUCUGAUGAAUAAGCUCCGGCUAACUCCGUGCCAGCAGCCGCGGUAAUACGGAGGGAGCAAGCGUUAUUCGGAAUCACUGGGCGUAAAGGACGCGUAGGCGGGUUUUUAAGUCAGGUGUGAAAUCCUAUGGCUCAACCAUAGAACUGCACUUGAAACUGGGGACCUAGAGUAUGGAAGGGGCAGGUGGAAUUAGUGGUGUAGGGGUAAAAUCCGUAGAUAUCACUAGGAAUACCGAAAGCGAAGGCGACCUGCUGGGACAUUACUGACGCUGAGGCGUGAAAGCGUGGGGAGCAAACAGGAUUAGAUACCCGAGUAGUC